rnacentral:lncRNA from 1 species
CUCACCCUACAUAAAGACAUGCGCACAACAGAAAGAUAGAUAUACGAGACGCAAAGAAAACAAAAUAAGACAUACAACCUGCACACAAUACAUACAAACAAAAAAAAACACACAACAAACCAGAUAAAAGAUUGGGAGAGAUGGAUACGAAGACGAAACCAAUGAAGAUAACAGAGGGAGAACGACAAAGGAAAAAGGGAGUGGAGUUUUUCAUGUUUUGAGUUUGUAGUUCGUUCAUUUCUUUUAUGGUGAAUUAAUUUCUACAAAAGGAAAUCCC